AGAGUUUGAUCAUGGCUCAGAUUGAACGCUGGCGGCAGGCCUAACACAUAGCAAGUCGAGCGGUAGCACAGAGAGCUUGCUCUCGGGUGACGAGCGGCGGACGGGUGAGUAAUGUCUGGGAAACUGCCUGAUGGAGGGGAUAACUACUGGAAACGGUAGCUAAUACCGCAUAACGUCGCAAGACCAAAGUGGGGACCUUCGGGCCUCAUGCCAUCAGAUGUGCCCAGAUGGGAUUAGCUAGUAGGUGAGGUAACGGCUCACCUAGGCGACGAUCCUAGCUGGUCUGAGAGGAUGACCAGCCACACUGGAACUGAGACACGGUCCAGACUCCUACGGGAGGCAGCAGUGGGGAAUAUUGCACAAUGGGCGCAAGCCUGAUGCAGCCAUGCCGCGUGUGUGAAGAAGGCCUUCGGGUUGUAAAGCACUUUCAGCGGGGAGGAAGGCGUUAAGGUUAAUAACCUUGGCGAUUGACGUUACCCGCAGAAGAAGCACCGGCUAACUCCGUGCCAGCAGCCGCGGUAAUACGGAGGGUGCAAGCGUUAAUCGGAAUUACUGGGCGUAAAGCGCACGCAGGCGGUCUGUCAAGUCGGAUGUGAAAUCCCCGGGCUUAACCUGGGAACUGCAUUCGAAACUGGCAGGCUAGAGUCUUGUAGAGGGGGGUAGAAUUCGGUGUAGCGGUGAAAUGCGUAGAGAUCUGGAGGAAUACCGGUGGCGAAGGCGGCCCCUGGACAAAGACUGACGCUCAGGUGCGAAAGCGUGGGGAGCAAACAGGAUUAGAUACCCGGUAGUCCACGCCGUAAACGAUGUCGAUUUGGAGGUUGUGCCCUUGAGGCGUGGCUUCCGGAGCUAACGCGUUAAAUCGACCGCCUGGGGAGUACGGCCGCAAGGUUAAAACUCAAAUGAAUUGACGGGGCCCGCACAAGCGGUGGAGCAUGUGGUUUAAUUCGAUGCAACGCGAAGAACCUUACCUGGUCUUGACAUCCACAGAACUUAGCAGAGAUGCUUUGGUGCCUUCGGGAACUGUGAGACAGGUGCUGCAUGGCUGUCGUCAGCUCGUGUUGUGAAAUGUUGGGUUAAGUCCCGCAACGAGCGCAACCCUUAUCCUUUGUUGCCAGCGGUCCGGCCGGGAACUCAAAGGAGACUGCCAGUGAUAAACUGGAGGAAGGUGGGGAUGACGUCAAGUCAUCAUGGCCCUUACGACCAGGGCUACACACGUGCUACAAUGGCAUAUACAAAGAGAAGCGACCUCGCGAGAGCAAGCGGACCUCAUAAAGUAUGUCGUAGUCCGGAUUGAGUCUGCAACUCGACUCCAUGAAGUCGGAAUCGCUAGUAAUCGUAGAUCAGAAUGCUACGGUGAAUACGUUCCCGGGCCUUGUACACACCGCCCGUCACACCAUGGGAGUGGGUUGCAAAAGAAGUAGGUAGCUUAACCUUCGGGAGGGCGCUUACCACUUUGUGAUUCAUGACUGGGGUGAAGUCGUAACAAGGUAACCGUAGGGGAACCUGCGGUUG
rnacentral:rRNA from 1 species